rnacentral:piRNA from 1 species
UUCAUAUGCUGUUGUCAAGUA